rnacentral:rRNA from 1 species
UGCCAGCCGCCGCGGUAAUACGAAGGGGGCUAGCGUUGUUCGGAAUUACUGGGCGUAAAGCGCACGUAGGCGGAUUAGUAAGUUAGGGGUGAAAUCCCGGGGCUCAACCCCGGAACUGCCUCUAAUACUGCUAGUCUUGAGUUCGAGAGAGGUGAGUGGAAUUCCGAGUGUAGAGGUGAAAUUCGUAGAUAUUCGGAGGAACGCCAGUGGCGAAGGCGGCUUACUGGACCGGUACUGACGCUGAGGUACGAAAGCGUGGGGAGCGAACAGGAUUAGAUA